CUCACUUCUAUCGUUCUUUUCGCCUACGUCGGCGCCGCAGUAGCGACUAAGGGACCUGUUCCUUUCAGCUAUUGUGCGAAUGCCGCUACAGCCGAGGUCUUGACAGCGGACAACUGUACAGCAAUCACUUGCAACGCAAAGAGGGGUACUGUAAUCGAGUCAUACUUUGAAAUAAUGUCACAUCGGGACACUGGCAAGAUAAAAUUAGACACUCAAGUCGAUGUUCGCGGAGCUAAUUUUGCGGUCCCGGGUGCGAAGACUGACGUGUGCAAGACCAUUGUUCAGUGUCCCGUAAAGAAAGGACAAAAGAUUUCUGGACUUUACCAUAUUCCCGUGCCUUCGUACACCCCCAUCAUGAAUACCGUACUCACAGUAAGGGCUACUGAAGACGGGGAAGACCUAUUCUGCAUCAAAGUUCCAGUUAAAAUCUGGCCGUG